UUGAAGAGUUUGAUCAUGGCUCAGAUUGAACGCUGGCGGCAGGCCUAACACAUGCAAGUCGAACGGUAACAGGAAACAGCUUGCUGUUUCGCUGACGAGUGGCGGACGGGUGAGUAAUGUCUGGGAAACUGCCUGAUGGAGGGGGAUAACUACUGGAAACGGUAGCUAAUACCGCAUAACGUCGCAAGACCAAAGAGGGGGACCUUCGGGCCUCUUGCCAUCGGAUGUGCCCAGAUGGGAUUAGCUAGUAGGUGGGGUAAAGGCUCACCUAGGCGACGAUCCCUAGCUGGUCUGAGAGGAUGACCAGCCACACUGGAACUGAGACACGGUCCAGACUCCUACGGGAGGCAGCAGUGGGGAAUAUUGCACAAUGGGCGCAAGCCUGAUGCAGCCAUGCCGCGUGUAUGAAGAAGGCCUUCGGGUUGUAAAGUACUUUCAGCGGGGAGGAAGGGAGUAAAGUUAAUACCUUUGCUCAUUGACGUUACCCGCAGAAGAAGCACCGGCUAACUCCGUGCCAGCAGCCGCGGUAAUACGGAGGGUGCAAGCGUUAAUCGGAAUUACUGGGCGUAAAGCGCACGCAGGCGGUUUGUUAAGUCAGAUGUGAAAUCCCCGGGCUCAACCUGGGAACUGCAUCUGAUACUGGCAAGCUUGAGUCUCGUAGAGGGGGGUAGAAUUCCAGGUGUAGCGGUGAAAUGCGUAGAGAUCUGGAGGAAUACCGGUGGCGAAGGCGGCCCCCUGGACGAAGACUGACGCUCAGGUGCGAAAGCGUGGGGAGCAAACAGGAUUAGAUACCCUGGUAGUCCACGCCGUAAACGAUGUCGACUUGGAGGUUGUGCCCUUGAGGCGUGGCUUCCGGAGCUAACGCGUUAAGUCGACCGCCUGGGGAGUACGGCCGCAAGGUUAAAACUCAAAUGAAUUGACGGGGGCCCGCACAAGCGGUGGAGCAUGUGGUUUAAUUCGAUGCAACGCGAAGAACCUUACCUGGUCUUGACAUCCACGGAAGUUUUCAGAGAUGAGAAUGUGCCUUCGGGAACCGUGAGACAGGUGCUGCAUGGCUGUCGUCAGCUCGUGUUGUGAAAUGUUGGGUUAAGUCCCGCAACGAGCGCAACCCUUAUCCUUUGUUGCCAGCGGUCCGGCCGGGAACUCAAAGGAGACUGCCAGUGAUAAACUGGAGGAAGGUGGGGAUGACGUCAAGUCAUCAUGGCCCUUACGACCAGGGCUACACACGUGCUACAAUGGCGCAUACAAAGAGAAGCGACCUCGCGAGAGCAAGCGGACCUCAUAAAGUGCGUCGUAGUCCGGAUUGGAGUCUGCAACUCGACUCCAUGAAGUCGGAAUCGCUAGUAAUCGUGGAUCAGAAUGCCACGGUGAAUACGUUCCCGGGCCUUGUACACACCGCCCGUCACACCAUGGGAGUGGGUUGCAAAAGAAGUAGGUAGCUUAACCUUCGGGAGGGCGCUUACCACUUUGUGAUUCAUGACUGGGGUGAAGUCGUAACAAGGUAACCGUAGGGGAACCUGCGGUUGGAUCACCUCCUU
rnacentral:rRNA from 1 species